rnacentral:rRNA from 1 species
GGGGAAUCUUCCGCAAUGGACGAAAGUCUGACGGAGCAACGCCGCGUGAGUGAUGACGGCCUUCGGGUUGUAAAGCUCUGUUAAUCGGGACGAAAGGUCUUCUUGCGAAUAGUUAGAGGAAUUGACGGUACCGGAAUAGAAAGCCACGGCUAACUACGUGCCAGCAGCCGCGGUAAUACGUAGGUGGCAAGCGUUGUCCGGAAUUAUUGGGCGUAAAGCGCGCGCAGGCGGAUCAGUCAGUCUGUCUUAAAAGUUCGGGGCUUAACCCCGUGAUGGGAUGGAAACUGCUGAUCUAGAGUAUCGGAGAGGAAAGUGGAAUUCCUAGUGUAGCGGUGAAAUGCGUAGAUAUUAGGAAGAACACCAGUGGCGAAGGCGACUUUCUGGACGAAAACUGACGCUGAGGCGCGAAAGCCAGGGGAGCGAACGGGAUUAGAUACCCCGGUAGUCCUGGCCGUAAACGAUGGGUACUAGGUGUAGGAGGUAUCGACCCCUUCUGUGCCGGAGUUAACGCAAUAAGUACCCCGCCUGGGGAGUACGACCGCAAGGUUG